rnacentral:rRNA from 1 species
UACGAGGGGUGCAAGCGUUGCUCGGAAUUAUUGGGCGUAAAGGGUAGGUAGGUGGUCUCAUUUGUCUGGGGUGAAAGCCUUGAGCUCAACUCAAGAAGUGCCCCAGAAACGGUGAGACUGGAGUCCUGGAGAGGGUCGUGGAAUUCCCGGUGUAGCGGUGAAAUGCGUAGAGAUCGGGAGGAACACCAGAGGCGAAAGCGGCGACCUGGACAGGCACUGACACUCAACUACGAAAGCGUGGGGAGCAAACAGG